GCCUCGGCAUUGCAGUGGUCGUAGCACGCGUCCCCGGUAUGGAUGAAACGCGGGUUCGAAUCCCGCCUGAAGUU